AGGAAGGGCAUGCAGACGGUGACAGGUUUUACAGUCAUCCCUCGCCUGAUUUGAUCUCCCAGUUUAGCACCGUAGGCUUCAGCAUCCAGUCAGAGACUGAACCUCCACAGCAGACUGACAGAGCAGCGAAUCCGCCUCCUACAAACACAGUCAGACGUCAAACACCUGGGAUCAGAGGUCAAAGGGGAUUGCACGGUUUACCUGGUCUACCGGGACCUAAGGGAGAUAAAGGAUACCCAGGCGUGAUGGGCAGGACCGGGCAGACUGGAUACAGAGGCCCCGUUGGUCCAGCUGGGAUGCCGGCUAUUGUUGUGUUUAAAACUUCUGAAGAAGAGUGGGAGGCUUUCAAGAAAAAGCAAAUUUACAAAAAGCUGGUGUCCUCGUGGCCGAGACUUAAAGGGCCUCCGGGUCCUCCCGGACCUCCUGGAGAUGAUGGACCAAUUGGACUACCUGGAAUUCCUGGAAAGCAAGGACCUAAAGGAGUUCAAGGAAUCAUCGGCAGUCCUGGUCCACAGGGUAUCCUGGGUCCCCCGGGCCGACCUGGAAGAGACGGGACCCCAGGACACAAUGCUGACCCGGGCCCUUCAGGUUUACCUGGAGAGCAGG
ensembl:lncRNA